GCAAUCCUUCGGGGCAGGGUGAGGCCAAACGGCCAAUUCCCGAUCGGUGGUGAUCCGAGCGCACGACUCGGUCAGUCCACGAGCCGCAAGGCACGAACUGGUGAGAUUCCAGUACCGACGGUAUAGUCCGGAUGAAAGAAGGAUGGC
rnacentral:ncRNA from 2 species